GUACUCACAUCAGCAGCAUACACACUAAAACUGGAUCAAUACAGAGAAAAUGAGCAUGACCCCUAUGCAAAGAUAUGGAAACUUGUAAAAAAUGUCCCAUAUUUAU
ensembl:snRNA U6 U6 spliceosomal RNA